rnacentral:lncRNA from 1 species
ACGGCGUCCCUUUUCAGACUCCUUUUGGGAGCGGAGCAGCUGCACAGAGCCUGUGAGUGGGAAUUUUGCGUGUCCUUAUGUGGCCCCAAAUCUCUGAUGUUCUGAUGUGGCCUCAAAUCUCAGCCUCCCGUGAUGCCAGCUUUUCGAGGCUCCGACGAUCCACUCCCCGGAUCGAGGAAGACACGGGCCAAGAAUCCCAUCUGGGAGGAAGCACCGAGAGAGGAGGGGCGUGAGGUUGGAGGGCGGUGGGAGGGGAUGGGGGCAGACACAGGGGAGGCGGGGGUCCCCGGCCAGACCUAAGGACGCACGGGGUUUCCGCUGGACGGGGCGCCCACAGGGAGGCAGGCGGGGUGGUGGGGAGCAGGGACGUGAGCAGCCCCCGAGCACGCAACCGCGGGCGGGGGACUGCCGAGCUCCCAGGUGGGUGACAUCGAGCCUAGCCGCUUGUCUCUGCCUUGUGACGGUCUCAGGCCUUAGGUUAGGACGCUGAGUCCCUGGGAGGUCGUCUCGUUUGCUCAGCAUCACAGAGCGAGGCAGCGGUUCAACCGGAGUUCACAGACCCGUGCUGGGCACCUUGGGCGGCGGAGAGGCUGAAGACAGGCCGGCUCCUCCCCAGCAGGGACGCAUCGGCUGGCUCUGCCUCGGUGGCUCCCAGGUGCCCGAGCCACGUUCCUCCUGCCACUUCACAGACUCCGAGGACGGAUGGGCAGCCCCGGACUCCGCGAUGGGCCAGGCUGUGCCUCCCCGCCCCCCCCCGCCCCCCAAGUGUUAUUCAGCGACUGAGGGUUCCCCGGAUACUCUCUGGAGCUCGGCCAGUCACGGGCUCCCAGAGGGCACAGCUCCCGUCGUCCCCGCGGCUUUGCUCCUGCCACCCCCCCCCACCCCAGGGACGUCUUCUCUGCCCCCUGGAAUCCUACUUGUCCGAGAUGUGCCCUGUCCCACGGAGGAUCCCAGAGCUGUCCUUAAACAGCCAAAGAGCCCACCGAGCACGGGCUCCGCUCCGACCGUCGCUCCGACCGCCGGGACCUGUGUCCUCCGAGCAAGGGUCAAAACGCGGAGAGAACAGGACGGUUGGCCCUUUGGGCCAGCGGCUCACGAAGCGCCCUACGCGUGCCCCUGGGGUGCCGGGCAUCAGGACCAGGGACCCGCGCCCUGCACCGGCUCCGAAGCCCCGAGCCCAGCGCACAACCCGGCGCCGAGUCCCUGCUGGAAACCGCCCCCGUGGCUUUGGAGGGGAGCAGGUCUCCAUCAGCAGCCGGCGUCGCUGAGGGGGGUAAAACCGUGACCCUGACCUUGAGGCAGUGCCGUUGUCAACAGAGCCCCAGGGCUGUGCUCAGGGCCGCCUGUCUGGGCCGCACCAAGUUGCAAAAAAGUCUCAGGAAUAUUUACAGUUGGUCUUUAAACGGCAGUGGGUAUGAAUAAAAGAGCAAUAUCUCACAUCAUUAGUCCAUAAAUAUGCAGUUUAGUUUUAUUUGUCAAAUAAAAUAACCUGAGAUUGAGCUGCCUGGUUGAAAGACACAGACAUACAUACACCUGUCUCCUUGCGCUGCCUGCUUCCCCGACUGCACGUCUGCCGCCCUUCGGGAAUGUUCUUUGCCCGAUAUGUCCCCCGCCCCCGCCCCCCGUCUGGCGUUCCCGGGGAGGGUCGCUCAGGCAGGUUUCCUGCCCCAGCCUCUUGAGGGGAGCAGCUGAAUGCCCAGGCCCUUACGGUGGCCGCGGGCUCAGGCUCUGCAGGGGAGGGACAGUUGGAGUCCCCUCGCCCAUUUUCUUUAUUUAAGGGUGACUCAUUUCCAUUCUAUAAAAG